AAUCUCACACCAAAUCCCUCUCACAACUCGUCUCUCUCCCAAUCGCGUGAAACUUUGAAAGAAAGCUCACCUUUGUGGUGAAUCAGUAGCUCAGGGUUUCGUUUGGUCUUUGGUGAAAGAAGCAUCCCUGCGAACUCCUUUCCGGGCUCAGAAUUCGAAUUAUCCUGUUUGAUGCUACAAUUUGGAAAAGUGAAAUUUGGAGCAAAAGCUUCUCUGGUUUCAAUGUAGCUGCUGAUAAAAUUUUGGUG